rnacentral:rRNA from 1 species
CUACGGGUGCAGCAGUGAGGAAUAUUGGUCAAUGGGCGCGAGCCUGAACCAGCCAUCCCGCGUGCAGGAUGACGGCCCUAUGGGUUGUAAACUGCUUUUCUAUGCCAAGAAACCUGAUUACGUGUAAUCAGUUGCCGGUAGCAUAGGAAUAAGCAUCGGCUAACUCCGUGCCAGCAGCCGCGGUAAUACGGAGUGAUGCAAGCGUUAUCCGGAUUCAUUGGGUUUAAAGGGUGCGCAGGUGGGCUUGUAAGUCAGUGGUGAAAUGCUGCCGCUUAACGGUAGAACUGCCAUUGAUACUGCGAGUCUUGAGUAUGGUUGAGGUAGGCGGAAUGUGUUGUGUAGCGGUGAAAUGCAUAGAUAUGACACAGAACGCCAAUUGCGAAGGCAGCUUACUAAGCCAUUACUGACGCUGAGGCACGAAAGCGUGGGGAGCGAACAGGAUUAGAUACCCCUGUAGUC